rnacentral:rRNA from 1 species
GAUGAACGCUGGCGGCGUGCCUAAUACAUGCAAGUCGAGCGAACAGACGAGGAGCUUGCUCCUUUGACGUUAGCGGCGGACGGGUGAGUAACACGUGGAUAACCUACCUAUAUGACUGGGAUAACCUCGGGAAACCGGAGCUAAUACCGGAUAAUAUACUGAACCGCAUGGUUCAAUAGUGAAAGACGGUUUUGCUGUCACUUAUAGCUGGAUCCGCGCCGCAUUAGCUAGUUGGUAGGGUAACGGCUUACCAAGGCGACGAUGCGUAGCCGACCUGAGAGGGUGAUCGGCCACACUGGAACUGAGACACGGUCCAGACUCCUACGGGAGGCAGCAGUAGGGAAUCUUCCGCAAUGGGCGAAAGCCUGACGGAGCAACGCCGCGUGUGUGAAGAAGGUCUUCGGGUCGUAAAGCUCUGUUAUUGGGGAAGAACAGAUGUGUAAGUAAAUAUGCACGUCUUGACGGUACCUAAUCAAGAAGCAACGGCUAACUACGUG